CCAAUAGCGUAUAUUAAAGUUGUUGUGGUUAAAAAGCUCGUAGUUGAACCUUGGGCCUGGCUGGCCGGUCCGCCUCACCGCGUGUACUGGUCCGGCCGGGCCUUUCCCUCUGUGGAACCCCAUGCCCUUCACUGGGCGUGGCGGGGAAACAGGACUUUUACUGUGAAAAAAUUAGAGUGCUCCAGGCAGGCCUAUGCUCGAAUACAUUAGCAUGGAAUAAUAGAAUAGGACGUGUGGUUCUAUUUUGUUGGUUUCUAGGACCGCCGUAAUGAUUAAUAGGGACAGUCGGGGGCAUCAGUAUUCAGUUGUCAGAGGGAAAAUUCUUGGAUUUAUUGAAGACUAACUACUGCGAAAGCAUUUGCCAAGGAUGUUUUCAUUAAUCAGGAACGAAAGUUAGGGGAUCGAAGACGAUCAGAUACCGUCGUAGUCUUAACCAUAAACUAUGCCGACUAGGGUUCGGACGGUGUUAUUUUUUGACCCGUUCGGCACCUUACG
rnacentral:rRNA from 1 species